AAAUAAGAAACAAUUAAUUGUAUUUAGUUUCGACCUAAAAUUUAGACAACAAGUCCUUAUUUA
rnacentral:tRNA from 1 species